AGAUAUCCUUGUACUAAAAUUAUUUUGCUGGGCCAAACUGUCAAGUGCAACAAUACUUGUUUGGUAUAAAAACAAAUGUCUGGAACGGGAAAGAGGACAAAGUGAUAUUAGAAGGCUCUGAGAGACAGGCAUUCCUAAAAUUGCUAACAAGAUUAAAAAUUAUAAUAAGCAAUAAAACAUUUUUAUAAACAACAAAGUUUUGUGAUUAUAUACAACACAGAUGAAAGCUAUAAUCUAAUAUUUCAAAUAACAGUAAUUAAGAAUAUUUAGAAAACCAAUAGAAGCUUUUAAAGAACAGUAUAUUGCUGAUUUGGGAAGAGAUAGGAAUGAUUAGACAAUAGAAAAAUAGAAAAUAGUGCUAACAGAUCUCAGAAAAGCAAAUAAGAAGCAAAAUAAGAAGAAAAACAAAAAAAUAACUUUAGAAAAAAUACAAGAAACAAGCCAAUAGACAUAUCAUCACAAAGAAAAUAGAAGAUGAAAAUGAAGAAAAUAGGGAAAAAUAAAGAGAUUAGAUGAUACAAUACAAAGUGAUAGAUUUAAAAACUAGUCAAAGAAGAUUCCACUUAUGUAUAAGAAGACACAGAACACUUGAUUGCCCCCAAAAUAAACCCCAUACCUAUUUUUUUGUUUUUAAGGUGGAGUCUCACCCUGCUGCCCAGGCUGAAGUGCGAUGGUGUGAUCUCGGCUCACUGCAACCUCUGCUUCUGGGGUUCAAAUGAUUCUCCUGCCUCAGCCUCCUGAGUAGGUGGGAUUAGAGGUGCUCGCCACCAUGCCCAGCUAAUUUUUGUCUUUUUAGUAGAGACGAGGUUUCACCAUGUUGGCCAGGCUAGUCUCAAAUUCCUGACCUCGUGAUCUGCCUGCCUUGGCCUCCCAAAGUGCUGGGAUUACAGGCGUGAGCCACCACGUCCAGCCAAAACCCCAUACCUAUUAACAGUCAUGCCUCACAUCUCACAUACCUCUAGAGGUUCCUGUAAACCACGAAUCUACUUUUUCUAUUCUGAACAUUUUAUGCUAAAGUCCCAGGGAGAAAAGACUUUGGCUUGGGGCCCUUCAUGGUGAACGAGGAGAUGGGUCCACUGAAGAGAAAAAAAAAAGGAAUGGAAGCUGACCUACAGGGAACAAGAAAGUGGGGCCAGCCACAUCCUCCAGCCACCAGUUGGGGGGUGUGGGGGGAGGGGGUUGGACAAGAUGACCUCUGAGGUUUCUGUCUCACUCAGUCUGGCUGACAGCUGAGUGACAGGCUUGCUCAGAAAGGACAUCCAGAUGUCAGUUUCUGAUGCAUCCAGGAUACUGGAGUUCAAACAUUUUCACCCUUCUACUUCCUUGGCUCCAAGCUUUAUACUGAGAGCUGGUUCUCAGGCUGUGAAAGGGGUAGGGUUUGCGGUGGGCAGACUGCUGACCUCUGCCUCCCGAUUUCAGGUUGCUCUGCCACUCAGUGUUGGCCUUGGACUGUCCUGAGCAGGUUGCUGUUCCCCUACCCUGCCAUGUACAUAGAAGGCAAGUGUGAGACCUUCAUUUUCUCACUAGAAAAUACUGAAUAAAGUUUUCUGAGGGCCCCCUUCCCUAUUUCACAUGCUAAGCUGGAGGGCAAAAAUUGAACAUGGAAGUGGUAGAAAUAGGUAGUUCCCAGUGGAACACCAAAUACAGCCAGGCUGAAGGGCCCAAGCAAAGCAGAGGAACAGACAGCACUGGAUUCCCCUCAUUCAUCCCUGUUCUCUGCUGACUCUUCCCAAGUUGGGGUCCCAUCAGCUACCCAUGAGCAUGCCAAAAACAAGCACACAGUUAAUAGUUUGCAGCAUAGACAAGCAAGGUUCUGAGAGAAACACCACCUCCCUGGCAACUGUACACUCUGCUCUCCUGAGACUGGAGAGCAAAGCUGAUUACAAUCAAAGGGAAAAAGACAGAAAAUAUCCUGCCUCCAGGAGUCAGGCUAUCCUCCAGUUUUCUUGGCAGCACCAUUGUCCCUUGCUGACCACUGACUCCCUGCCAGGAGGGGUGGGAGAGAGACUAGGAGACUCACCUUGGGACAAAGGGCUGGUCCAGCCUUUUCAGCUCCUGGGGAACUUUGUCCCAGCCAAUGCUUUCAUGGAAACUGAGCUAUGAGAGAC
rnacentral:lncRNA from 1 species